GCCGCCGCCGGGGAAGGGCGCCUGGUGUGACUUCCGCCGGGGAGACGGGGCCUGGAGCGGGGACGGCAGGCAAGGGGCCACGGGCGGACGAGCGAGCGCCGGGAUGGCUCGUCUUCUCGCUACUUCCCCCACACACAGCCCUGCAGCCCUCCCUCCUUCCUUCCUGGCUUUUGAUUAGAACGCAGCCGCAGGCGGAAGCGCAAAUGACGCCAUCAGCCCGCGUCCCGGCGGUGCGCGCGCGCACCGCUGCCUGCCUGUCCAAAGUGCGGGUCGGACGGGCGUGCAGCCGGGACCCCCCCCCCCCCCAGACGAGCGUGCGGGGUUCAGGGAAGCCGAGGCAGCGGCAUGGAGAGUAGUGGGCUCAGGUGCAGUGAAAAGCGAGCACGGAAGCUCGGGGCAGCUGUGCUAGCGGGAGGCCCAGCUUCCAGAUCCGGGAGGCGGGGCCUCGCCCCGGACCUUCUGGACAGACUUUACUGCCUGGCCAUUUUCUCCACCUCCAGAUCCAGAGGGCUUUGGAUCUUCAGAGAUGAUUUCAUCACUGGCAUACCAUAUGAAAUGUGGGCAGUUGCCAGUACUCUACAGAGUACCACAGAAGAAUUGGUGAUGACUAAAUCAAUUCAUUCAAGCAAAAACUCUACAUGUGCCUACUAUGUGCGUAAUCUAUGAAAUCAAAGUCUGUGUCUCCAGGGGCUGCGCUUGUAUAGCGUGCUGUGUAGCCAUACAUGCAACAUGCUAACCAUUUGCCUGUUACUUUCCCCUGUGUUUGUUGCAUUCUGGUGUAGAACAACAACAACAAAAAAACUAUUAUGUAUCUUACAACCUUAGAUUUCGGCGGAAUCUUCCUUCAGCACCCUUGUCUCACUCCACUUGAAUGCCCUUUGCAGUCUUUAAAUCACAGUCCCGUUUCAUUGUAUGAGUGACUCCACACAUCACAAGAGACUAAGGCCACUGACUACGAAUUCCUUCAAUUUUCCAAAUGCUAGAAACAUGAUGACCUUUUGUCAGCACUGAGAGAAUGGCAAAACUCCUUGCCCUUAUGUCUCCAACUAUAGUCUAGUUCCAGUCUCUCUCGUUGGUCUGGGUUGUUUGUUUGUUUCUUCUAUGUUUUUCUGAUUUCAGUCCUUCACAAACUAGCUCGUUUUUGUAACUUUUACUCGGUUUCAUUCUUUCAUGGUCAUUUUUUUUUUUUUAAAAAUUAAGUCUGGUGUCUUUUGCUAUCAAAAUUUGCUCAUCAACUCCUGAUGGUCUUCUGUAUCUGUCCUGCUAUCUAUCAAAAAUGCUUCCUAAUGUAAUUUUAUUAUUUGGAAAAAAAUUUUGCUUUAUGGUUUAGGAAUGAGAUGAUGACCUUGUUGGGACUUGUCAGAUAAGGCAAACCAUUAAACAGUCAAAUUCCUUG